CUCGUCCUUCUCUCGCUCUCUGACGUGCGCAGACGGACCCCGCCCACGGAGUCCCCUUCGAGCCCACGUGAUGUCUCCCGCCCUCCUUUCCCUUGAUCCGCCUGUCUGCUUUCGCGUUCUAGUGGGCGGCGGCUCAGCGAGCACCUGUCCUGCAAAGCGCUCUCACAAACGGUCCAGAUCAUUAAAACACGCUGGUUUUUGCAGAUGUCAGAGAAAGCCACCAGGGAGGGAGAUCACUUAUAAGCAGCUAUUUAGUCUUAAAGGCUGAAUAGAGCCUCCACGUGCAGGAACAGUAUAUCUGACACCGAGGAAAAACCGGAUUGAAUUUUCAAAAGAGAGGCGAAUCGGAAAGAAGCUGAUUGAUAGCGCAGGUGAGAAUCACUGCAAGGUCAGCCAGGACCACAUCAGCCCCCUCACUUGGCGGAGAGUCCCUGUCAGCUGUCAGUAUGGACGAGGACAUGUUGGAAGAAGACAAGCACUUUGCCUGAAUUCAUAGAU